rnacentral:lncRNA from 1 species
CCAUUUUCGGUAACUUUCUCUCAGAGAAAUAAAAGCGUCAAAAUUAAUUGACGUCAAAACUCCAACAAAAGGAAGUGUUCAAUCAUGAACCAUAGCAUGCAUAUUAUUUCAAAUAAAAGUCCACUCACAAAUUAGGCCUAAGCCUGAUGUCGAUCUGGGGUCUCGUCUGCUCGAGCCUCCUCACGUCCUGUUUCAAAUAUAAUAUUAAUUCCCAACCAAAAAAUCCAAUAUUUAAUCACAAUAGGCAAAAUUACCCGAGAGCCAUAAUUACGCUCAUCAUUGCCUAACUUCGAUAUUCUUACAUCGGAACGAUCCGAACUUAAAUAUCAUACUCAACAGUCGUAAAUACAACCUCUCUAAAAUACGACUUAAAUCCUACGGCCGGAUUCUACAUUAAUUAACCGCCAAAAAUACUUAACUUCGGAAAUUCACAAACCUAUCCAAAUCUCAUCCAAAAAUUCCAUAAAUCACACAAAUAUACUCCUCUUAAUAUUCCACAUUUAAAACCCUAAAAAUCUCCUAACCGGCGGCGGCGCCGCCGGCGGCUCCGUCGGCAGCGGCGGCCGGCAGCCGUUUUCCGGCGAUCUCCAAAACCUAUGAAAUUUUGACAGAAUAAUCUCCUCAACAUGCUCUACAACUUUCAUGACCAACACAUCACCCAAUUCCAAGCCUAACUAGGCUAAUCGAACGAAAAUAACUUAAAAGCCUAGAAAUUUCAACUCCACAUUUCUCCUUACCUAGCUCAAGAGGGAGGGAGCUGCUUGGAGGGGUUGUUGCACGGGAGGAGGGCUACAAAACCGUACCAAGCUUGCCCGGAUUGGUGGCCGGAGGAGGAAGUUCCGGCGAGAAAACCGAUUCGGCAGUCGGAGCUUUCGGGCGGCGUUUCUCCCUCACGACGGCGCUAGGGAGGCUGUCACCGGUCUAGAAAUGUUGCUGGGAGGGAGACCGACCGAACGGAACCGGUGCGGCGGCGGUUGGUGGCCGGACGGCGGCGGGAGGACGGCCGGAAAACCGAGCAGCGGGAGGCUCGGGGAGAGGAAAAGAAAAGAGGGAAGAAGAGAAAGGGAGGAGGAAAAAGAAAUGGGUUGGGCCUCCACCGGUCCAACCUAUAUCAACCCAAUUCCAAAAAUAAAAACACCCCGAAUAAAAAAUUACCUUUUACUAGCUAAAAUUUAUCAUUUUUACCGUCGUCGAAAUUUCCUCAUACUAAUAAUCCUCCGCACAUAAUCGUCCCCGAAACCCCUCUAGGGACCAAUUUAACUAUUUACUCAAUGAUCGAGACGGUAAAAUUCUUAUUAUAAUCACGCUAGUAAAUAAGGUAAAAAUAUAAGGGUCGGGAUGUGACAUUUACAUUUCCUCGCCUCCAUACUAUAAGAACAUAUGCAAUUUGCUUAUGAAGAUUUUCUUUAAUGAAAGAUGAAAGCAAAAAAAACUCAAAUACAAGAAUGUGUAACAAUCUGAUUUUGAUUGAUCAUAAUUUGGUGUCAAGAAAACAUGCAAAG